CCUCGCGCCUGAAAGGGCGACGGUGGAAACCGGAGCGAGAAGUCAGCAGAGGCCGUAGUAGCUGCCAGCACGGGGCGAAGGGC
rnacentral:ncRNA from 1 species